rnacentral:rRNA from 1 species
UUUUAGACUGAACGCUGAGUCACGAAAGCGUAGGGAGCAAACAGGAUUAGAUACCCUGGUAGUCUACGCUGUAAACGAUGCACACUUGGUGUUAAUCGAAAGGUUAGUACCGAAGCUAACGUGUUAAGUGUGCCGCCUGGGGAGUAUGUUCGCAAGAAUGAAACUCAAAGGAAUUGACGGGGGCCCGCACAAGCGGUGGAGCAUGUGGUUUAAUUCGAUGAUACGCGAGGAACCUUACCAGGGCUUGACAUAUACAGGAUAUAGUUAGAGAUAACUAUUCCCCGUUUGGGGUCUGUAUACAGGUGCUGCAUGGUUGUCGUCAGCUCGUGCCGUGAGGUGUUGGGUUAAGUCCCGCAACGAGCGCAACCCUUGUUAUCUGUUACCAA